rnacentral:rRNA from 1 species
CGCGGCCUAUCAGCUUGUUGGUGAGGUAAUGGCUCACCAAGGCAUCGACGGGUAGCUGGUCUGAGAGGACGAUCAGCCACACUGGGACUGAGACACGGCCCAGACUCCUACGGGAGGCAGCAGUAGGGAAUCUUGCGCAAUGGGCGAAAGCCUGAUGCAGCAACGCCGCGUGCGGGAAGAAGGCCCUAGGGUUGUAAACCGCUUUCAGCAGGGAAGAAAAUGACGGUACCUGCAGAAGAAGGUGCGGCCAACUACGUGCCAGCAGCCGCGGUGACACGUAGGCACCAAGCGUUGUCCGGAUUUAUUGGGCGUAAAGAGCUCGUAGGCGGUUCAGUAAGUCGGGUGUGAAAACUCUGGGCUCAACCCAGAGACGCCACUCGAUACUGCUGUGACUAGAGUGCGGUAGGGGAGCGGGGAAUUCCUAGUGUAGCGGUGAAAUGCGCAGAUAUUAGGAGGAACACCAGUGGCGAAGGCGCCGCUCUGGGCCGUAACUGACGCUGAGGAGCGAAAGCGUGGGUAGCAAACAGGAUUAGAUACCCUGGUAGUCCACGUCGUAAACGUUGGGCACUAGGUGUGGGUCCCAUCCAACGGGAUCCGCGCCGCAGCUAACGCAUUAAGUGCCCCGCCUGGGGAGUACGG